AUGUCAGAUUUGGAGGCACAGGUAGGCUCCGUUUUGGAGAUAAUGGUGAAUGCUACGGUGACAGAAAUGACCAAAGUUAUCGGCGGCUCUGCAUCAACAUCAGAAAUGUCAUGUACGACUGAAAACACACACGGUUCCCCGGAAGAGAAGAGGAUCCAGUUCAGCGUCUUCGUGACGUCUCGGGCUCAAGAAGCUGUGGAGAAGAUCUGCCAGCUUUUCCACCAAUGUUCCUCUCUGCUGCAGCUGGAGGUGACACAGGGUGUUGCAGAGAUUGAGGACCUGAGGAGGAGACUGGAGGAGGCAGAGACGGAGCUGAAGCUGGUGCUGGAGGCCAGCGGAGGCCAGAUGGAGGCGGAGGAGCUGACGGAAGGAAGUAGUGGAGAGAAAGAGGGAAGCAGCGCUCAGACUAACGGAGCAGAGCCGGUCCAGAGCCAGCACUCCGGGAGGAAGAGUCGCAGAGUUAUGGCGAGCGAUGAUGUUUCAGUGAAGAGAUCGCCCAUAAUUCAUCUGUGGAAAGGCCGAACUUAUGAGGACAGUGUCCAACCUGUGAUAAUAAAGGAGGAAGGAUUCGAGGCGUUCGCUGACCAGGCGUCCUCUGAUUCCGGUCAGUACAGAGAUGAUCCGAGCCCGGAAGAUGACAACGACCCAGACUACCAGAUAGAGCCAGAAGAUCCAGAUGACUGUGACCCAGGAUUCACUACCAGACCUAAACGUGUUGUAAAGCCCAAGUCCCAUCGAGUCCGAGCAAAGAAGGAGAGUCAGAGUCAAAACCAGCAGCCUCUGAGCUGCAAACACUGCAGGAAAACCUUCACCAAGCUGCUGCAGCUGAAAGCUCACCAGGCUGUGCACGGGAUGAACGCGGAGAAGCCCUUCCGCUGCUCUCAGUGUGGCAGAGGCUUCUCGUUCCAGCGAAGCCUCAAUGCACACAUGCUGCUUCAUACAGGUGAGCGUGAUAAUCAAGCGGUAACCUCCGGGUCUGAAACGCAAAGCCAAUACGGAAAUGCUUUAAACCUGCGUUAUUUUAAAUGACCAGCAUGG
rnacentral:lncRNA from 1 species